GGGGCUGAUCGGUUUCGACGGUAGUGACUGCCGACGGGAAGCGGGUAGAGGAUGCAGAGUCAUCUCUUUAACGACUCUCUGCAAAAAAAUAGUUGCCAACAAGCAACAGAAUGAUUUCGCCCUCGCAGCUUAAUUAGCGAGCCUUUCGAAAUCCGUCACGCUAACGUUGCUUUCGCGUUAGAUUUGUGGCGUCGUUUAGGAAAGCCACUGCGCUAACUGUUUGUUUGUGACAGUUAGUGAACAUUUAGCAAACUAGGUUUGUCAGCAACAAGUCUGCGUGAGUGCUGGAGCCAAAAACAACGCCUAGUAGACUGCACCCGGAGAAGACGUAGGUUUUGCAUUAUCGGACCGGAGUUCAAUUCUCCGCAGCUCCAC
rnacentral:tmRNA from 1 species